AUGGAGGUGGCAACCACCAGCACAUCGGCCUGGCCUGCAGGCGGGUCCUUUGGCUAUACCUGGAGAGAACCACUUGGGGUGUGUGUGGGCAUUGGAGCGUGGAACUACCCUUUUCAGAUUGCCUCUUGGAAGUCAGCUCCAGCAUUAGCGUGCGGUAAUGCCAUGGUCUUUAAACCUUCUCCUUUUAUACCUGUUUCUGCAUUGCUACUGGCUGAAAUUUACACAAAGGCCGGGGUACCUCCUGGGCUUUUCAAUGUGGUACAAGGAGGGGCUGCCACAGGCCAGUUUCUGUGCCAGCAUCGUGAUGUGGCAAAAGUCUCCUUCACUGGAAGUGUGCCCACUGGCACUAAGAUUAUGGAGAUGUCAGCUAAAGGAAUCAAACCUGUCACCUUGGAACUUGGAGGCAAGUCUCCACUCAUCAUCUUCUCAGACUGUGAUAUGACCAAUGCUGUGAAGGGGACACUAAUGGCCAACUUCCUCACACAAGGCGAGGUUUGCUGUAAUGGUACAAGAGUAUUUGUGCAAAAAGAAGUUCUUGAUAAAUUUACAGAGGAAGUAGUGAAACAGACACAAAAGAUAAAAAUUGGAGAUCCCCUUCUGGAAGAUACAAGGAUGGGUCCACUCAUCAACCGACCUCACUUGGAGUGAGUCCUUGGGUUUGUUAAACUGGCAAAGGAGCAAGGUGCCAAAGUGUUGUGUGGUGGAGAUCUGCAUGUACCUGAAGAUCCCAAAUUAAAGAAUGGAUACUACAUGAGACCUUGUAUAUUAACUAAUUGCAGAGAUGACAUGACUUGUGUGAAAGAAGAGAUCUUUGGGCCGGUUAUGUCCAUUUUAUCAUUUGACACUGAAGAUGAGGUUCUGGAAAGAGCCAAUGAUACUACUUUUGGACUAGCAGCCGGCGUCUUCACCAGGGACCUCCAGAGGGCUCACAGAGUGGUGGCCGAGCUGCAGGCUGGAACGUGCUUCAUUAACAACUAUAAUGUCAGCCCAGUGGAGUUGCCCUUUGGUGGAUAUAAGAAGUCAGGCUUUGGCAGAGAGAACGGCUGUGUGACAAUUGAAUAUUAUUCACAGCUGAAGACUGUGUGCGUGGAGAUGGGUGAUGUGGAGUCUGCUUUUUGAAAACCUGGAGUGAAACCUGUUGACAUGGCCAGACUGAGAGCAGUGAGAACCUGCUCUUCUACAGGGGUGGUAC